CAGAGAGCACCUCUUAAGAGGCAGGACCCAUACCAUGGAUUCUUGGUGAUGAUGGACACCAUGGUUACUUUCCAACAAGACAGAAAAGAGCGCCCAGUGAUGGAGGCUUCAGUGGAUAAUUAUAUUAGCAGGAAAAUAAUCAGCUUUCUAUCAAGUGGACUCUGGGCACAGCCCCAGGGAUCUCAGAGUCCGAAGGACCUGGAGAGCAGAAGAGGCUGGUGUGUGCCAGAGCAGCUUUGCCGGAAGGUGGUAGCACAAGUACCCCACUGGAAAUAACACUAAGGCAGAAGAAGCUCAAUUGCCAGGUGGUCGGUCACAAGUAAGGGAAGAGACAUUUUCUCCGUUUCUGGGCACAGAAUGGAAAGCCUCGUGUAUGCUAAGUGUACACUCUGCUCCUGGGCUGCUGCCCCAACAAAGGGAUUUUUUUAUGUGAGCUCAUCCUGGCAAGAAGCUCUUUUACCAUCCUUGACUUCCAGAUCUCCAGGGCAACUGCUGUUGGGACGUCAUA